AACGAACGCUGGCGGCAGGCCUAACACAUGCAAGUCGAGCGCCCAGCAAUGGGAGCGGCGGACGGGUGAGUAACGCGUGGGAAUUUUUCCUUCGGAGUACGGAACGAACCGACGGGAAACGUUACGGUCGUAAUAACCGUACUGAUGUCUAGCGACCAAAGAAUUUAUUCGCUCUGGGGUAAGGCCCGCCGUCAGAUUAGGUA
rnacentral:rRNA from 1 species